rnacentral:lncRNA from 1 species
GCAUUACAGUACUCAUAUAAGAGCUAGUCACUGAUUGGCUGAGAGGACACACUCUGUACACAGGAAAACCACACUUCCUGUUGUUGUUGCCAUGGUGCUGUCAUUCAGCCUGAGGAAGAGAGUCCAAAUGUUAUUAUUGAUGGUAUAGGUCUCACACUCUGCUGGUAUUGAUGGAUGGUAUAGGUCUCACUCUGCUGGUAUUGAUGGAUGGUAUAGGUCUCACACUCUGCUGGUAUUGAUGGUUGGUAUAGGUCUCACACUCUGCUGGUAUUGAUGGAUGGUAUAGGUCUCACUCUGCUGGUAUUGAUGGAUGGUAUAGGUCUCACUCUGCUGGUAUUGAUGGAUGGUAUAGGUCUCUUCUUCUUCUUCUUUGGUCUCCUCUGUCCCUG